rnacentral:rRNA from 1 species
UGGGGAAUCUUGCGCAAUGGGCGAAAGCCUGACGCAGCAACGCCGCGUGGGGGAUGAAGCUUCUCGGAGUGUAAACCCCUUUCGACCCGGACGAACCCCCGCAAGGGAUUGACGGUACGGGUAUAAGAAGCCCCGGCUAACUACGUGCCAGCAGCCGCGGUAAAACGUAGGGGGCCAGCGUUGCUCGGAAUUACUGGGCGUAAAGGGUCUGUAGGCGGUGCGGCAAGUCGGAAGUGAAAUCUUAGGGCUUAACCCUGAGGCUGCUCCCGAAACUGCCGUGCUCGAGUGCGAGAGAGGCGAGUGGAAUUGCAGGUGUAGCGGUGAAAUGCGUAGAUAUCUGCAGGAACAUCCGAGGCGAAAGCGGCUCGCUGGAUCGCAACUGACGCUGAUAGACGAAAGCUAGGGGAGCAAACAGGAUUAGAUACCCUGGUAGUCCUAGCCCUAAACGAUCAGGACUGGGCGUGGGCCUCGUACGGGGCUCGUGCCGUAGCUAACGCGUUAAGUCCUGCGCCUGGGGAGUACGGUCGCAAGGCUG